UACGUAGGUGGCAAGCGUUGUCCGGAUUUACUGGGCGUAAAGCGUGCGCAGGCGGACCUUUAAGUAGGAAGUGAAAGGUUGGAGCUCAACUCUAACACUGCUCCCUAUACUGGAGGUCUUGAAUGUCGGAGAGGAAAGCGGAACGACACGUGUAGCGGUGAAAUGCGUUGAGAUGUGUCGGAACACCAAUGGCGAAAGCAGCUUUCUGGACGAAUAUUGACGCUCAUGCACGAAAGCUAAGGUAGCAAACAGG
rnacentral:misc_RNA from 1 species